rnacentral:lncRNA from 1 species
AUGUUGCCAAUCACUGCAAUUCUUUUACGUGAGAGAAAAAAAAAAUAUUUGUGUGUGUGUGUGUUGGGGGGGGGGGGUGUCUUUGAACAACCUCAGCUGGGACACCUUCCAGAUUUGUUGUCACUGUCGUGGUUGAUCAGUCUCACACAUCCAACCAGAAUGACUUCAGCUCUUCCUCAUGCCCCCCCCCCCCCCCAAAUGGGCACUGAGUCGUUCCUGGGCUGUCUUCUCCUAUUCCCAUUAAAUACUCCUCAGUUGGCUUAGGGACAUUCCAAACUCUGAGAAUUCUCCCACAGUUGUACUUAAAUAAGCUCCUGUUCCAGCAGAUGUGACCAGCCAGGAAAUCCCAAGGUGAGUGAGGAAAUCCCUCUGUGCCCCCUGUAGUCCCCAAGCCCUGCUGUAUGGCAGCCAGAUGCCUCCACCCCAUCCCACUGAGCCUCUGCCCAUAGCUGUAGUUCAGCCACCAGGAUCCUCAUGGGAGGAAGCGUCCUUUAAUGAGAAAUCACUCUGUGUCCCAGCUCACAGGGCCUCAGAGAUCAUCCAGCCCGACAAGCUCCUUGUACUUACAAGGACAUGGAAGCCCAGCAAGGAGAGAGGACUUGACCAAAGUGCUCAGCAGGUUAGGGCCAGAGGCAGCUCUGCAGCUAAUCGUGGAUCCUAAGAGAGUGUCUUCAAUGUGAAACAGAAAGAAGGCUAAAUUUCCAGUUUUUGGCCCAUCACUGGCAGCAAAUUAAAAAUCAGAGGCUAUAACACACUGAUCAGGACAGCUGCUCCUUCAUCACCCACAGGGCUGUAGAAUGGGACCAUCACCCAUGGACUGUCCUCUGAGCCUUUUCCCCCCACUGGAUGCCCAAUUGGAGUUAGCAGCCGAGUAAACUAACAGAGAGAGCUGAUCAGUGUCUCAUGAGCCAGGUCUGUUCUCGAGGAGGUCAUCGAGAGAGUGUGACUGCUGGUUGACCCUCGAGCUUGACCUGGACAACCGCCCUUGUCUGUGAUAUGUGCUCGGCCCACUGUUCCCACACGAGGAGAUGGUUCUAAGGACACAGACUUGAGAAAGCAAUGGGUUGCUGAGAGCUUCUGGGCAAUAUAUGUGAUUAAAUCCGGUUAAGGCCUCUCUCUAUAAGAUCCUGGCGGAUGUCCUGGUGGAGAUCUCCCCAUCCAGUGGUGCCCGGGAGAAGCCUUGUAUGCAAGUUCUCUUGUGUAAGUACAACCACCACCUAGCAGUCUGGAGUGGCCUUCCUCUCUCCCUGCCCUCUGCAUACAGGGCCAGUUUCAGAUCGCACCCACGAAGUUCCUGGGGGUGCACGCCAGCCUAGUGGGGGCUAGUCACCAUGAGAGCCAUGAGCAUUCACCCCUGCAACCCUGGUCUCUAGCACAAUCCCUGGUAAACAGUAGGUUCUCAUUUAAAGGGUUUUAAUCCAUAACAUAUUCUUGCCACAGAAAAGUUCUCAUUCCAGUGAGGCUUUGGUGUGCGUGUAUUCCCAAUUACUCACGCCCUCGCCAAUGUCGCCUAGUCUCGGUCAAACAUCACACGGGCCUUUCCUAGCAAUUAUCCAUUUAACUUGCACGUCUGAUCAAAAGUGGCAGAAAAAAAUUUUGGAAAAAUAUAUCUAUUCUAGCUCAUCCUAAAGUUUUCCUUUUCAGCUCAACAAAACAAAGAUCUUUUUAAUAGAGAUGUCAAGUUUAGCAAAUAAAUAUAAAGGAUGCAUUGCUAAAUUUGAAUUUCAGAUAAACAGUGGAUAAUUUUUUACUAUUAGUGUGUCCUAAAUAUUGCAAUAUUCUGAGUCAUAUCUGCAAUUCAAAAUUGACAGGGUGCCCUGUAUUUUAUCUGGCAGCCCUACUUUGGGGCCUCCACCUUUGAGUGUUUGUGGAACAUUAUGACAGAUGUGAAGGCAAGCCUUAGGAAAGAACCAGAGAAUGUGGGGCCUCCUUAUAGGACAACUGUUUAGGGUCCUGUCUUGUUGCUGCGAAGGGAGGAAGGGCAGCUCUAAUGGUUUCUCCUGGUGAUUGCAAGCUCCGCUGAGGGCAGCUCCAUGCUGAUAGGCCAAAAAGAAAGCAGAACUUGUCUGCAGAGAUAAAAGACCAAAAGGCUGGGCUUCUUGCUAUAGCGUGGGCUGCAUCUUAUGACGUGAGGGAUCCUACCAGGCUCUUACGAUGGUUCUGAGAGAGCCAUAGGCCUCAGGGUUCUGAUCAUCUCUCUCUCUCUCUCCGUGCAUGUCUAUCUAUUUCUGUGUCUCUGUGCAUAUAUGUUUGUGCGUCUCUCUCUCCCCACACCCCUUCAGCUCCUCUUUCUCCUGCUGUUUGGUAAGCUUCUUUCAAUAUGUCUCAAAGCAGAGAGGGGAAGACAUUGGUGUACAGACUCAACAGUAGGAUUUGUGCUUUUAUUGCAUGUUAAUUCAUCUAGGAGCUUUAACUUUCAGACAUGAAGCCACUACUACAGGUAGGUGAUAAGUUUCUUCUUGUCCACAUGGACAUAGAGGAGCUAACAGUGGUAUUUAGGAGGCUCAUCACCCCUCUUCAUGUUGUUCCACACACGCAGAUGUAACCUUCAUGACUCUGGAGCGUGUGGGAAGCCUCAUGCAUGUGAUCCUCGAGGUCCCACAUGGCAGAGACAAGUAAACUGACCUUCUUGCAGUUGACGAGUGCAGCUUUGACCCCUCUGGAUUCUCAUGGGGUCUGGGGCGGUGGGGGGCAUGGGAGUUCUCCUUGAUUUUAAUCAUGCCAAAGGAUUGCAUGUUUUGAAGGUAGAGCUCAAACUCCUGUUUCCCGUAAAUCCCCGAUACCUUCUGCCUUUCUUAGCAUUAACCAGCCCCGUUUGCCAUCUGAAGACUAUUAUUUCACUGGGACCUGGACCUCUGGACCUCUGGGCAUGGGAUGACUAUAGAUUUCACAUUUGAAUGCAUGCAAGCAUGUAAAUAGUUGACUAUUACCAUUAAGAAACAACUGUUUUGGGGUGGCUAGCCCUUCAAAAAGGAGAUACACAUCUUCUAGAAGCCACAAAUGAUUAUGGAGAGUGCUUAGACUUGAGUUUGACCCACCUAUCUUCUUCACCAGCUGUGUGACCCUGAAGAGAGCUGACACCAGGGCCCUGCUGUGAGUGGUGUUCACAGCCCCUGUAGCCCGGGAAUCAAAGGUGGGUGAAUUUCUAAAUCUAAGAAUAUUUUUUUCUUCUGAUGAAAGCAAUUUAUGAAUUAUGAAUGAAAACUUACAGUUUUUCUCUCCCCCACAAAACUAACAAAGACUGUUUUUAAUGUUAAGAAGACAUUAUAAAGCAGUUCGAAUUCAUUACGAAAUUCAUAUUUCUUGACCUUGUGAUACCCCUUAAAAGAACAUGUGCAUAGAUUGACUAUAGAAAAUAUGAUUAUAUAAAUAUUAUGGCAUCGUUAAGGAAGUUGGAAAUCUCAAACUUUAAGAUGGUUUAGACUAUGGUGUCUUUUCAUCAUUAAAUAGUCAUUAAAAUACUAUUUAGUCAAAGAGGUUUUCAAAUUACAAGAGGCAAAAUGCCAUUUGCAAAAAGAAGCAGACGCUUUUUUCCAUAAAGUUCUAAGACAUAUAUUUUGCAUAGAGAAUGCAAAUGGAUUUAUUUCAUAACCACUCAGCAAUAUAGCUUAGCUAUUACAGAAACAAACUUUAAAACAAAUUGUCAGGAUCCUUGUGGUUCUUGGAGGAUUCGAGGCAUUACUUUUUUCUGUUAGAGCAAACAUUUCCUCCAAACAGCACUCGACGAUGUUCAUGGCUGGCACAGCUGCAGCCUACCCUGUGGGUAACAGAAAAGGAGCUGUUUGGUAGCACAUGAAUAUCCGGGGCUUUUUAUUAGCCUGUUGGACUACGUAGGGACUAUUCCUGCAUUGGGGCCCUUGGUCGCAGUCAACAGAUGCCCUGUUCUAAAUAGGCCAGUGAAAGUUCUUCAUUCAGGAAACUGAAAACUUCAGAGUUAGAGCUAGUCUUGGGGUACGCCUAGCUUGGCCUUCCUUCAUCUUCAUUCCCAGAUAGACCUUCCCGGUUGUGGCAAAGAUAAACCUACAAUAAUUUGGAGUCUUCUUUACCUCCAAUGAUAAAGAUGGCCAUUUCUAUGCUUGGAUGCCCUCAGGCCAUGUAGGUGGUAUACAUGUAUGCACCAGGGGCAGCCCGGGUGGCUUAGUGAUUUAGCACAGCCUUCAGCCCAGGGCGUGAUCCUGGAGACCCGGGAUCGAGUCCCACAUCAGGCUCCCUGCAGGGAGCCUGCUUCUCCCUCUGCCUGUGUCUCUGCCUCUCUCUCUCUCUCUCUCUCUCUCUCUCUGUUGCUCAUGAAUAAAUAAAAAAUCUAAAAAAUAAAUAAAAUAAAAUAAAAAAUAAAGUAUGCACCAGGUUGAGUCAUGGAUAUAUUGCUUUCAGAAGGCUCCAAACACAGUUCCAUGACUAAAAAUUCAUGGUAUAAAACAUACUGAAUACUGUUGUAAAUGCUGUUCAUCAGUUUUCAGUUUUUAGACUUGACCUAUAAGUAAAGCACAGAACAACUCACUGUAAUUAGAGAACAAAAUGUAUAUGUUAUCAAUUUUACUGAUGUGGGGAACCUGGGUGGCUCAGUCAGUUAAGCACCUGCCUUAGAUCCUGGGAUCACCCGCUUGGGGCUCCCUGCUCAGCGGGGAGUCUGCUUCUCCCUGCCCCUCGCCCCUGCUCCUGUGCUUGCUCAAUCUCUCUCUCUCUCUCAAAUAAAUAAUAAAAGCUUUUUUGAAAAUAAAAAUAAUAAAUAAAAAUCUUACUGAUAUUAAAAAAAGGCAUUAAGAAAAAUUAGGAGAUGCAGUGCUUGAAACAGGUAAAUGCCAAUUUAUUUAGCUUUCAUAAGGCAAUCUCUAGAAUAAAAAAGUAUAGUAACUGUCUAUAAGGAAAGCUAGUUCUACUUUGCAUUUUCAGUUUGUCCAUACUGUUUGACCUUUUCAAAACAUUUUUGUUAUAUAAUUAAACACUUAAUAAUUCCAUCAUCUCAAGACUGAAAUAAGGGCAGCAGCUUCUUUCUGUAGU